CAGCACCUCAAGUGGUCAGGAUGAUUAUUGGGCCUAAAGCAUCCGUAGCCGGCGCUGUAAGUUUUCGGUUAAAUCUGUACGCUCAACGUACAGGCUGCCGGGAAUACUGCAGCGCUAGGGAGUGGGAGAGGUAGACGGUACUCGGUAGGAAGGGGUAAAAUCCUUUGAUCUAUUGAUGACCACCUGUGGCGAAGGCGGUCUACCAGAGCACGUCCGACGGUGAGGGAUGAAAGCUGGGGGAGCAAACCGGAUUAGAUACCCGUGUAGUCC
rnacentral:rRNA from 1 species